UCAUAAGCGGAGGAAAAGAAACCAACAGGGAUUGCCUUAGUAACGGCGAGUGAAGCGGCAACAGCUCAAAUUUGAAAUCUGGCCCUUGGGUCCGAAUUGUAAUUUGUAGAGGAUGAUUUUGGUGCGGUAUCUUCCGAGUUCCUUGGAACAGGACGCCUUAGAGGGUGAGAGCCCCGUACGGUUGAAUGCCUAGCCUCUGUAAAUCUCCUUCGACGAGUCGAGUAGUUUGGGAAUGCUGCUCUAAAUGGGAGGUAAAUUUCUUCUAAAGCUAAAUAUUGGCCAGAGACCGAUAGCGCACAAGUAGAGUGAUCGAAAGAUGAAAAGCACUUUGAAAAGAGGGUUAAAUAGCACGUGAAAUUGUUGAAAGGGAAGGAUUUGUGACCAGACUUUUUCUGGGCGGAUCAUCCGGGGUUCUCUCCGGUGCACUUCGCCCAGUAAAGGCCAGCAUCGGUUUUCGGCGUGGGAUAAAAGCAGUAGGAAUGUGGCUCUCUACGGGGAGUGUUAUAGCCUAUUGUAUAAUACCGCGCUGGGGACCGAGGUUCGCGCUUCUGCAAGGAUGCUGGCGUAAUGGUUAUCAAUCACCCGUCUUGAAACACGGACCAAGGAGUCGAACAUUUGUGCGAGUGUUUGGGUGUUAAACCCUCACGCGUAAUGAAAGUGAACGGAGGUGAGAGCCCUUACGGGUGCAUCAUCGACCGAUCCUGAAGUUUUCGGAUGGAUUUGAGUAAGAGCAUAACUGUUCGGACCCGAAAGAUGGUGAACUAUGCGUGGAUAGGGUGAAGCCAGAGGAAACUCUGGUGGAGGCUCGCAGCGGUUCUGACGUGCAAAUCGAUCGUCAAAUCUGCGCAUGGGGCGAAAGACUAAUCGAACCAUYUAGAGUGGUAC
rnacentral:rRNA from 1 species